GCAUAUCAAUAAGCGGAGGAAAAGAAACCAACAGGGAUUGCCUCAGUAACGGCGAGUGAAGCGGCAACAGCUCAAAUUUGAAAUCUGGCCCUAGGCCCGAGUUGUAAUUUGCAGAGGAUGCUUUUGGCAAGGUGCCUUCCGAGUUCCCUGGAACGGGACGCCAUAGAGGGUGAGAGCCCCGUCUGGUCGGAUACCGAGCCUCUGUAAAGCUCCUUCAACGAGUCGAGUAGUUUGGGAAUGCUGCUCAAAAUGGGAGGUAUAUGUCUUCUAAAGCUAAAUACCGGCCAGAGACCGAUAGCGCACAAGUAGAGUGAUCGAAAGAUGAAAAGCACUUUGGAAAGAGAGUUAAACAGCACGUGAAAUUGUUGAAAGGGAAGCGUUUAUGACCAGACUUGGGCCGGUUAAUCAUCCAGCGUUCUCGCUGGUGCACUUUGCCGGUCCAGGCCAGCAUCAGUUUGUCGCGGGGGAUAAAGGCGUCGGGAAUGUGGCUCUUCGGAGUGUUAUAGCCCUUCGUGUAAUACCCUGCGGUGGACUGAGGUUCGCGCAUCUGCAAGGAUGCUGGCGUAAUGGUCAUCAACGACCCGUCUUGAAACACGGACCAAGGAGUCGUCUUCGUAUGCGAGUGUUCGGGUGUUAAACCCCUACGCGUAAUGAAAGUGAACGCAGGUGAGAGCUUCGGCGCAUCAUCGACCGAUCCUGAUGUUCUCGGAUGGAUUUGAGUAAGAGCAUACGGGGCCGGACCCGAAAGAAGGUGAACUAUGCCUGUAUAGGGUGAAGCCAGAGGAAACUCUGGUGGAGGCUCGCAGCGGUUCUGACGUGCAAAUCGAUCGUCAAAUAUGGGCAUGGGGGCGAAAGACUAAUCGAACCUUCUAGUAGCUGGUUUCCGCCGA
rnacentral:rRNA from 1 species